rnacentral:lncRNA from 1 species
ACUAUAUACCCAGCCGGCACACGACCGACCUUCAACGUUGAAAUAUGGUUGAAAUAAGGUCAGAUGUGUUUUGAACGUUGAAAUAAUGUUGAUAGAACGUUUAAUGUUGAACGGUUGAAAAACAGCCUGCAAAUGACAAGGCUUCAACGUUGAAAUGUGGUUGAAAAUAAGUCAGUUGUUGCUUUAAUGUUGAAACAAUGUUGAAUGAUAAAUGGUUGAAAAAAGUUACAGAAAUCCUUGUACAAAUCAACGUUGACAUUUUUUUUAUCAUGGUCUGUAUGUUGAAUUAACGUCAUGGUUUCACCCAAUAUUCAACAUGUUUGGUUACCAUGGUAUCGGAGGACUCGGCGCACGCGGCCACGCGCAGCGCUUCACUUGGGCUUCACUUAAUUACGAACACCUGACCUGCAGUGCAGCAGAAUUCAGAGAGACGCACUAACUUGCACAGCAUUGAAUGGAAAAGGCUUUGUCCAUGUCCAGUUGAGGGGCAUCAAGAACACGCAGAUGGCCUAAACCUGUGUCAGCCUGGACAGACUGCAGUUCUGCUACUCCAUGCCAAGGCUUUUGUAUGGAUGUCUUGACUGCUACUGUGUUCUCUAAAGGUUUUCUGGAAGCUCCAUUUGAGGGCAUCAAGGACAUACUGAUGGCCUAAACCAGUGUCAGCCUAGACAGACAGACAUCUAUUGCAGUUCUGCUACACAAGACCAAACUCUCUGCUUUUGUAUGGAUGUCUGACUAGUACGGUGUUCUCUAAAGGUAUAACUGGAGCAAAACAACAGCAUCCGUUACAGUGAAAUUUGUGUUC